UUUUUUUUCUUUUUCUUUCCCUGCUUCUUCGUGUGUGUUGUGUCCGAAGCUGGGACUCACAUCAGUUUAUUUGUCCCUCUAUAUAACUCUUUUCUCUCGAUCAAAAUACAAUGACGAGGUUACCAACGGUAUCUUUCUAACAUACAAGCUUGAAAAGCUCAAACUCAGCUUCUGUUUUUAGAAAGAGGGAAAAAAAAAAAAAGGAAAAAUAUCCAAAAUCUUCACCCUUUAGACUCGGAAUCCAUUUGCCAUUUAUAAGUUACAAGCCAUCCUCAAUUCAAGGUAAUGCAUGCAGCAACGCAAAAUACCAUUUUUUGUUUCUUUUUCUUGCUUGGUGUUUUCUGUUGUGUUUUGCUUCAUGGAGAGUUGCUGCAAAUGGUGAAUAUGUCUUCUUUCUUUUAUUGAAUUAUUGCAUUUGUUUGUUGGGUUCUUGGUGAUGUUUUUUGAAGAGGUUCGCUUUGGUUUUUUGUUUAUGAUUCAUCUUUUAUGGUAAUUCAUUUGUUCUUUUCGUAAAAAAAUUUGAUUUGAUUAAUGGGUUCUUCUAGAUCUUUGCUGUUUGUUGAUGGUUUUGUUUCAUCAAAUUAAGUUUGCAUGUCAGCAUUAUUGCAUGAAUAUUCUCCAUUUUCACACAUCCAUUUCGUUGUUUAAUGACAGUAAUUGCAUUUUUGAGUAACAAAAUAGAUUUUAUGGAUUCGGUUUUGUUUCUUCAUUGAUUUUUCAUAUGAAAAAUUGAUCUAGUGUUUGGUAGCUGGAAAAUUUUUCCUUUUUGGUUUACAUGUUUCAUUGGCAUACGAGUCAUUUGACGUAUUGUUGGUUUGUUUGAACAGGAAUCUAAAACAAAUAAGUGCUGAUGGGAGUUUCAGUUUCGUGCCCAUUUGCGGAAUACAGUGAUGUGGAAAGUGGUUUAGAAUCAGUCAUUGUAAAGUCCAUUUGCUUUGGAGAUGAGGAAGUGAAGACGCCGGUUCGAUCUGUGAGCUUCAAUAGUCAAGAUUUGGAACCAACAAUAUUGAAAUCCUUAGGUUGUGGGAAAAUGGUGAAAGAAAGAUCGGUUAGUUUUAAAGAAUGUGAGUUGGAGGCAAUGAUCUCUCGAACAUCAUCUUUAUCAUCAGACAAAGAAAAGGAUGAGUCCAUUAGAUCAAUCAGAAUAAAGGUAAACGAAAUGGAUAAUCAAUCUCCAAGGUCAGAAGAUUCUAUGGAGACAAUCCAACAAUUUCCGAUUUUGGAUCCCAAUAACCCCAAGCAUGAAGCUGCAAUAAAAUUGCAGAAAGUAUACAAAAGCUUCCGAACAAGGAGAAAGCUAGCUGAUUGUGCAGUUAUUGUUGAGCAGAGCUGGUGUGUAUUAUUUGUUGAUAUUGCAGGUAUUGUUCACAAAGUUCUAUAUGUUUUUAGCUUGUUCUAAUGCAACAACCUGUAUUGUUCUAGGUGGAAGCUCUUAGAUUUCGCUGAACUCAAGCGAAGUUCUAUAUCGUUCUUUGAUAUAGAGAAAAAUGAAACUGCCAUUUCACGUUGGUCAAGGGCCAGGACCAGAGCUGCUAAGGUAACUUUCAAACUCAUAGAUAUAUGAUUUUGUGUAAGGAAGCAUUUUUUUGUUUCUGGUAUCUAAUUGUUUUCCUUGAUUUUGUAGGUUGGAAAAGGUUUAUCAAAGAAUGACAGAGCACAAAAACUUGCCUUACAACACUGGCUCGAAGCAGUAAGUCAUUUGGAUAAUUCAAACUUUAUUAGCAAACGGAUUUAGUAUGUAUAAUCACUUCUACAUUUUCUGUUGCUGAUUUAAAAGCUUUGUUUCUAAUGUUAAACAGAUUGACCCACGGCAUCGUUAUGGACAUAAUCUACACUUCUAUUAUGAUAAAUGGCUUCAUAGUCAUAGUAGAGAACCCUUCUUUUACUGGUAAGACACUUUAACUGAAACCUUUUUGCUUCACCGAUUUGAAUUAUGUGACGGUUUUAAGUUAAUGGUAGAUUCACUGGUUUGAAAUUCAGGGUCGAUAUAGGGGAAGGGAGGGAAGUAAAUCUUGUUGAUAAAUGCCCUCGAUGGAAGCUUCAUCAGCAGUGCAUCAAGUAUCUUGGUCCGGUAAGCCUCUAUUUCUUUCCUUGGUCAUCCUUUAUCCUAAAUUUUUUAUAGCUUAAAACUUUACUUAUAAAUUGCUUUUGAUCUACAGAUGGAAAGAAAGCCUUAUGAAGUUAUCGUGAAGGACGGAAAAUUCUUUUACAAGCAGUCAGGGUUGAUCCUCGACACAAAUGUGGAUAUUGAUUCUAAGUGGAUCUUUGUCCUAAGCACAACAAAAUCCUUGUAUGUUGGCAAAAAAAGAAAAGGAACAUUUCAGCAUUCCAGCUUCUUGGCUGGAGGAGCCACAACGGCUGCCGGGAGAUUAGUUGUUGAAAGUGGCGUCCUUAAGGUAAUCUUUUUUUUUUUUUUGGUUAUUUUAUCUCAACUUUGUGUUUCUUGAACUUAUUGUCUUUAAUUAUCAAGAUAGUGUCUUUUGAUGACUUUUUUUUUUUCCCCUGCUUUUCAACAGGCAGUUUGGCCUCACAGUGGUCAUUAUCGCCCUACAGAACAAAACUUCAAUGACUUUAUCUCAUUCCUUAAAGAGAACAAUGUUGAUCUCACAGAUGUCAAGGUAAAAAUAUAAAGAUACGAAUUCUUUUGUAAGUUUCUCGAUAGAGGGAAGUAAAAGAGCUUUUUCUGACAAUGCGUUCAUUCUGAUGUAAGCAGAUGAGUCCAGUAGAUGCAGAAGAAGCCUCAGAUGGUAAACAAAGAAAUAGUAUGCACAUUAGGAACCACUCAUCUGAUGAGGACUUGGUUCAGGCCCUUGACGAAUUAGAGACUGAAGAGAACAAUGUCGAAGACUUGAGUCAAGACAAAACUGAUUCAACAAAACACGAAACUACUCCUUCGAAAGGACUUCAAAAGUUGGACAGUUUCCAGAAGUUUAGUAUGAAAUUGCCUAGUAUUGAAGUACAAAAAAGGAGUGAGCUUUUAGAAAGACCAGAGAGUAACAUUCCAGCUUUUAAGCCGAGUAGCAACAACCCAUCAGUAGAAUCUCAAAUGAAUGUUCCUGGUUCUGUAGAAGGAGCAUAUGUUUCUAAACCAGAAAUCAAAAAUUCAAAGCAAGAGUUGUCAAAUGACGAAGAUGCAGAAAAUGAAGUAGAACCAGUUCCUGAAGAAGCAAUUCUCCAAAGGAUAAAUUCGCGUAAAGGAAUGAAGUCAUAUCAGUUGGGGAAGCAGUUGUCCUGCAAAUGGACAACGGGAGCAGGUCCCCGCAUUGGCUGUGUAAGGGACUAUCCCUGUCAACUCCAGUUCCGAGCUUUGGAGCAGUUAAACUUGUCUCCAACAAGUGCUGGCUAUAGUAGAUCUAGGUCGUCUCCUCACACAAUCGGUAGAUAUAACCCACUGAUGCCCUCACCACUGCAUCCUCACAUGAAAAUGGAAGCAACUGUAAGCUUACCCGUGCCCGGGAAAGGAAAUUCAUUAAUUGAAGCCGUUCGCCUUUGUAGAACCCAGUCCUCCCCAUUAGAAGAUCAGUAGAUGCUGUAGAAUCACAUCCUAAAUGACCAGUUCUUUUGUGUGAAUAGAGAAGUUGGUAGGAAUUCUUUACGUUCUUUCAAAUUAAAUUCAUGUACACUUUUUUUUUUUUCCCCCAAAGUGUUGUUUAACAUAUACAUCAAAAUAAAAAAAAAAAUCUGUAAAAUUUUUAAUUUUGUGGCUUUAAUGCCUUUUCAAUACAAAAGAAAAUAUUCAUUCUUUAUUUUCUGAUGUUCUAAUUGCCGCUAAGACAUUUAAUAUAGGGUUUGCAGAAACUUUUGCUGCAAGGAAAUUGCCUAAAGCAGAGUAUGAAUCAUUUCAGAAAAUUAUCUCAACUCACAGACGAGAGUGAAAGUUCUGUGUUGAGGUCUAGAAGCUGAAGUUUCUUUUCGAUUAUAUAUAUAUAUAUAUUUCAUUUUAUAAAUUUUAUCAAAAGCCUGUCCAAUCUCCAUGGGGCCGUCAAGUGCUCGAGAUUCUGACUGUGUCUCCAAAAAUCAAUUGGACGACGACUGAACUGGACUCAGAUGGGAAUUUUGGAGAAACUAUUGUUAACAUAUUUGAUUGAAUAAAUGGGAAGUGUAAAUAUUUUGAACAAGAAAAGUGGGAUGCUAUAAACCAUCAAUGGAAUGAAUCCAAAGAGCUCAAACACAAGGACAAGCUGCAAGAAUGGCCGAUAUUGUUCAGUUUUCAAGUGCAUGUCAGGUUGUUCAAUAACACCACCAGUGCCUGGUGGCUUUGUCUUUUGGCAUGGCACCAAAUUCAGAAAGCUUUUAUUUUGCAUUCAAUUCCAAAAUGAGAAAAAGUUAAAGAUGGCCCUCCACUACCAUUUGUUUUGUUGGUUUCACUUUCACCUUUACAGAGGUGUAGUAUCAUUUUUAGCCUCUACUAAAUAGUUUGAAGCACCUUAAUGAUUUGAAAAAUUAGGUAACGUUACGAAGCAAAUUUGCAUGAGUUUAUUUUCAGAUAAGCUAUCAAUAUUGGUUUGAUUUACUCCCCAAGUACGAAUGAGGCUGCCAAAUUGAAAAUUAGCAUAAUUUUUGUUGGUAUUUUAUGUUAUAAAGCACAAUUAUUAUCCCGAGUUGAUGAUAAAAACAAAUAGAAAUGCCAUAAAUUGAUAUUUAAAUUUUAAUAUUGAAUAGUUGAGUUAGGUACCGGAGGGAAAACUCUUGAUAGAAUGCAGGAUUCAGGAAGAAAAUCAACUCAUAAACUUAAAUUUUUAGUUUUAUUGAAGUUUAUUUAUUUCAAGAUUGUAAAAAUUUACACACAAUAUUCAGGAUGAUUUAUUUAUUUAUUUAUUUUCUUUGCUGUUAAUUUAGAAAAUGAAUUGCAGCAAGAAUAUAUAUCUAUAUAUUUUCAAGCUUACAAAAUUAAUAUCAUCUAUAUCUUUUGGGAUAAAAAUUCUCUAUACUAAUUAUUAUUCCAUAAACAUUGUUGCAGCAUGGCUACAUAAUUGCCACAUUACAAGCUCAGUGAGUAGAGUUUGGAUAAAUUAUUGGAUCUCAUUCAUCUUGUAUUUACUAAUUAAUAAUCAGAAUGAAAUGGACGGGAAUCCAAAUCAUGAAUGAAAAUAAGAAUAAAUUGUUUAUUUGAGUUACAAAAAUAGGAUUGAGAAUCGGAAUGAGCUUAAUUUCUAUUGAUGUGUUUACUUUGUCCUAAAAUCGGAAUGAACUAUUUUAAUUUACUAAUAUACUCCUUGUUAAUUAUUGUUAUUUGAUGAUGAUGAUAAUAAUAAUAAUAAGUAAUAGUAAUAAUUAAAAAAUUAAUAACAACAACAAUGACAAUAAUAAAUUUUAUAAUAAUAAAAAUAAAAAUAACAACUAAAAUAGUAAUUAAUAAUAAUAAUAAUAACAUUAUUAAAUUUACAUUUAUUAUAAUAAUAACUAAAAUAGAAAUAAUUAAUAAUAAUAACAACUGCAUUAAUAAAUAAAUGCGGGGACAAUUGGUGACGAGGGGCGCGACUCCGAUCCGCCGGUGACGAGCUGCUAUGAUACGUGGACGACGACGAGUGCAUGACGUAGGAAGAAACGGCAACGACGAGCGCGAGCACGAACAGCUGUGAUGUGGAAAACGAGCACGAGCAGCUGUGAUGUCAGCGACAGCACGUGCAACAUCGAUGAUGAGUACGAUCAUUUUCCUUUGGGCAGCGGCUGCUUGCUUAGGUUUUCAUUUUUUUUUUUUCAAAAUUUCCAGAGAGGGUAUUUUGGGGAUAUUGGAGUUGUAGCGGGGGGAUAAUUUCGUCAUUUUAAGGAAUACGGUUCUAAUUUCUCCUGGUCCAAAAUUUAUGUGGACCCAUCCUCAAUUUAACAAAUAAAUAAGUUAUUUAUUCUGAUUCCCUAUCUUUAUUCCGGAUUGCUAAAUAUAGCAUCAAUCUUUCCCAGCUAAAUAAUUAUAUCAAGUUAAUUUUUUUUUUCUUUCAGUAUAAAGUGCAGAACAUCAUUAAAAUUUGAAAAAAGAUCAGCAUGAUUUUCAAAUUUAUCUAUUAAAAAUCCGUAAAGUGUAGAAAGUGGAAGAAAAUAUAUGAAAAGAACCUCGGUUGCUGCAGAAAAGACAAAAAUUUUGCUGUAUCUUCUCACGUUGUAGUUCCCAAACAUUCAAAAAAUCGCUCACUUUUUAUCAAAAGUUGAACCCAAAAACAAAAAGCACUCAUUCCCUCCUCUCAUGUCUUUCUUUCCCGUGACUUUAUAUCCACCUCUCAAAUAUUCUCUUCACUGUUCACACCUCAUCUCUUUCUAGCUACUAGUGUUAACUUGCUGCUACUUACACUCACUCGCUCCCUCCCUUCUGAAUACAAGCUAAGUUUGGCACCAUUUUUUUUUGCUGCUGAAAUGUGUGAAAUUUUGCUGGCUCAGCUGAAUCCUGAGCUACCCAUCAAGCAUUUUCACGGUAAGUGUGGUAAAGUUUGCUGCUUUAGCAGGUUUAGUUCUGUUUUGGUUGUGUUUCUGUUUCUGGGUUUUGCAUUUAGUGGCAUAUGUGAUGACCUUGCUAUGGUUUCGGUACCUCUUGGUUUUGAGGUUUCUGGGUUUGAUAAAAGCAAAACUUGGGUGUCUGAAAAUGGUGUCUUUGCAUUUGGGUUCUUGGAUACUAGCUCAAAAUAUAGUGAUAGUGAUGGAUUUGUUGUGGGGAUUAGGUUUAAUUUAAAAGAUAAAGCUGCAAAUCUGCCUGUUUGGGCUAUUGGUGGUGGUCUUAGAGUUUCUGAGAACUCUACAAUUAGGCUCAAUUUGGAUGGUAGGUUGAUUUUGUUUGAAAACCCUAGUGGUUUGAUUGUUUGGAGCAGUAAUACUUCUAAUUUAGGUGUUCAAAAAGCUACUUUAUUGAACAAUGGGAACUUACUGUUAAUGGGUAGUGAAGAUAAUGUGCUUUGGGAGAGCUUUAAUAGCCCCACGAACACUCUCCUUCCUGGUCAGUCUUUCCAUUUUCCGCGGGUCUUAAGAGCGCCUUCAACAAAAUCCAUCUCUAGUUAUUACAAUUUUGUGAUACGCCGUUCUGGUGAGCUUGCUCUUGUGUGGGAAAGCAAUGUGACUUACUGGAGGACUCAUUUGAGCUCCUAUGGUGUUGCUAAGGAAGCAAGGUUUGAUUCUAUUGGUGUUUUGCGGCUUUUCGAUGCCAGUAAUAAGACGGUUUGGUCCGCGUCGAGUAAGGAUUUUGGAGACCCUUCUGUGGUCUUGAGGCAUCUUAGGAUUGAUUCAGAUGGGAAUUUGAGAAUUUACUCGUGGGACAAUGAGGCUCAUGUGUGGAGGGUAGGGUGGCAAGCAGUUCAGAACCAGUGUGAUGUGUUUGGCUUUUGUGGUUUGUACAGUGUAUGUGGGUACAAUUCCACGGCCACCGUUUGUGAUUGUCUGUCGGAGGCUUCUGUAAAUUGGGGAAAUGACCUGCCUGCGGUGGAUACAGUCAAUACUGGCUGCAGGAAAAUGGUGGAUUUGGGGAACUGCAGGUUGAAUACCAGCAUGAUGAUUCUGAAGCAGACAGUUCUUUAUGGUCUUUAUCCUCCUCUAGAUGUUGAUUUGAUGCUGAGCGAGGAAGCCUGUAAGGAGUUCUGCUCCAAUGACUCUACUUGCGUUGCAGUAACUUCAAAGAACGAUGGUUCAGGGCUUUGCACAAUCAAAAGAACAAGCUUUAUUAGUGGAUAUAGGAAACCAUCUACUCCUGCAAAUUCUUUCUUGAAAGUGUGCUUGGUCCCUCAGGCAGUUUCUGCUAGAGGUGCUAAUCCUCACAACAAUGUCAAGCCAAUUCCUAUUUCAUCUAAAGGAUUAGAUGAACGUAGUGGCGAUGGUAAAGCUUUUGUGGGAGCCAUUUCCUUGAUAAUUCUGGUGACAGUCUCAGCCUUUUUGAGCAUUGAGAUGUUUGUGUUUUGGGUUAUGUAUCGGAGACGUAAAACUAAGGCUCAAACAAGGAUCCCUUUUGGAAAAGAUGCUCAAAUGAACCCACAUUACAGUGUUCUCAUCAGAUUGUCCUAUGAAGAGGUGAGAGAGCUGACUGCAAACUUUGGGAAUCAACUCGGCCCCUCUGUUUAUAAAGGUUUACUUCCCAACAAAAUGCCAGUAAUUGCCAAGGUGAUGAACGUUGUAGCAACUGAGAAAGACUUCAGGAGGGUAGUUUCUACCUUGGGUGCAAUGCACCACCGGCAUCUUGUAUCAAUAAAGGGAUUCUGUUUUGAGUCUGAACAUGCUAUUCUUAUUUAUGAGUAUGUCCCAAAUGGCUCUCUUGAUAAUUGGUUAUUCAACAUGGAGCAGGCUCAGGUUGAAAGGAGUUGGCAGCAGAGGCUUGAUAUUGCUCUAGGAGUUGCUCGAGCCCUUGCUUAUUUGCACUUGGAAUGCCAAACUUGUGUUUCUCAUGGGAAUCUGAAGCUUGAAAAUGUCAUGCUUGAUGAAAAAUUGGUUCCUAAAGUGACAGAUUUCGGGCUUAGAAGCUUACUUGCAAAGGAGACAGCUUCUUCUUUGGAGUCCCCAUCUGAGAGAGAUAUUUACAUGUUUGGGGAAAUGUUGCUUCAAAUUGUUACAUGCAAGACAGACAUAUUAGGCAGCGAUCUGCGCGAUCUUGUUAACAAGAUCAACGGAGAACUGAAUUCAGAGGACAAUAGAGUGUCUGAAGGAGUGGAGAGAGCCCUGAGGAUAUCAUUGUGGUGUAUGCAAAGCCAACCAUUUUUACGACCUUCCAUUGGCGAAGUUGUGAAGGUAUUAGAAGGUACAUUGUCAGUAGAUAGGCCCCCAUUGAAUUUUGCUUUUAGAGAAGACCAGAUGGGUUAGAAUCUUAGCUGAGAUUUUAAGGUAGAUUCUUAGAAGAAAGUGAUUGUAAGUAACAAUCUUACUAACCAUGUCAGUUUCGACACCUCAAUUUUUAGGUAUGAGAGUCUAGAAAAUCUCCAGCAGCUCAAUGUUUUUGCAAGAUUGAGCCCGAAGAACUGUAAAAAAAAUUUGUACGAUAUAGGCACUCUUUAACUACAUUAUGCAAAAUGUUUCAAUGUUAGUGUCUUGAGCAACAUGCCCAGAUUUGUGUGCUAGUUCAAAAUUUCUUAAUUGAAUAUGCAAUGUAUGCGACUGCCAACAAGUGCACUUUAUAUCUAAAAUCAUAGCUCUAAUAUAUUAUCGUUACCGUAGUCCACAACCACACACAACCGCUAGUCCACAACUACAAUCAAACCCAUAUCUAGCAGUAUCAAAAUUUUUGGUCUAACCAGUAAGCUCAUUUAUUUUUAAGUUGUACUUUUAUCUUCGAAAUGUUUAUUUGUUAAGGUUUUGGGAGCUUGUAACUUAUGUUUAUCUUGAUGAUUAUAUAAUAAAAUAACUCUUUAGCUCGUAAUAAUAACUAAUAUAGGCAUUCAACUUUUAAAAUUCAUAGCACAUGCAUUCUCAACAGCAUAAUUUAUCAAACGCCAAACUCGGACUAUGUCCAACUGAUUAUUUUAUUAGAACAGCAAAAAUAAGAUAAGACAAAUAAUUUUGUAACCAAUAUAUUGGUUAAUUCCAAAUCAUAAUAACUGCCAUUAAUGUUGUUGGUUGCCCAAUAAUAAAUAUAGCAAUUAAUGUAAUAAAUAGUCAUCAAUCCAUAUCUUCCAGCUUCUAAUCAUCAUCAUGGAAAGUUUCCCAACUUCUGUCAUUCUUUUGAUUUUUCUCUUCAUCACUUGUAAAAUUUUCAUUAAAUCCAUGUCAUAGUUUUAAUAAUUAUUUAAUUAUGUGUUGAUGUCAAAAUCUGAUCUAAUCGGUUAGUGACUUAAUAUCAAAUUCUUACACCAGCAUUAAAUUUAUCUGGUGGAGAAUUGACUGGUCAAUUGUCAAAAUGUCUGCAACCACCAGUGAUUAACCUACGAAUACAUGAAAUCACAAAAAAAGGUAAGAGGUGCCGGAAGUUUUUCCGGAGUGAACCCUCCGACACUCAAGUUAGUUUAUGGGUUUACUAUAAUAAAAAUAAAUAAUUUCUAUUUAAAACAAAAAAUAGAGAUCAAAAGCUCAAAAAUAAAACCCAAUCCCAACAUGAAGAAUGGAUUUCUCUUUUUCUUUUUUUUUUAGCUUGUCCAAAUCCUUCUGCCUCUAAGAAAAACAUAAUAGAGAAGCAAGUAGCCCUCCUCCCUAGGUAACACCCCACUCCCCUCUUUUAUUCUCCCCCUUUCCGUUUCCUUCUUUUGCUCACUAUCCUUUAUAAUUUUUUAUGCUUUGUCUCCCCAAAAUAGCCUUUGAAUACACAAGUAAAUGUCUAGUUUACUUAAUAAUAAGUUGCUUGAGGUUUUAAGUUUGUAAAAAAUUAUAAACUCUAUAAUUUCCGGUCUUGAUUCGUUUCACUUCAACAACCCAUCAGGACUCUAGACAUCCUGAAUUCAAACAACCUCACAGGGGCUACAUAAUAAAACUUGAUGGCUUACAUUCGAAACCAUUCAGACCGAAAUGAAAAAUAAAUCCCCGGCCAUUGAAGCUAAAACGAAUGGACUGUAUAAUUCUCACAAAGAUUGUCACCUAAAUUUAUUUGUAUUUCAAAUUCAUUUACCAGACAUAUAGGCAUCUCUAUAAAAUUUGGAAAUACACACAUUGAAAGGAAACGUUCCGAUGAAAUUAAUUAUGUAAUCUUCAGAAGUAUUAUUUUUAAGAGAUUCAGUCUCGAUGGCUCAGUGGUAUCAUUUUUUAUGGGUUGCAGGAUAAUAUACGACCUCAAUUCUAAUGAUUUUGUAUUUCUUUGAGGUUCACCGUCAAAUGAAAAUUGUUUGAGUCUAUAUCGAACACCUUUUCACCAUGUAAAACCUAAAACAAACAACAUUAAACAUCAACUCAGAAACAUAUUGAGCUGUUAGUAUAAAAACAAGAGUCUUACUACAAAAAUACUAACUAAAAAGAAACACUCACCAUUAGAUUAUGCUUGUAUACUAAAUUGACUUCCAUCUUAAACCUUCCGUCAGCUUAUGAAAAUCAAAAUAAUUCUCCUGAUGGUGUACUCAUUCGACGCAAGAAUUUGGAAUCAAUAGCAGCGAUAAAAGCACAUAUAUAUAUAUACAGAGGCGAAGCUUUGAGGAGGCUAACCCGGGCUGUAGCCCGGGUUAGUUUCUUGAAAAAAAAUAUUAAUUAAUUAUACAUUGUUUUAAAAAAAACUUAUAGUAAAAUAUAAAAAUAUAACUAAUAAUUAUAGUCAAUAUCUAUUUUCUCUAAAUUGAAAAAUUAACUCAAAUCCCUAACUAAUUGAUUCAAUUAUCUAAAUUUUAAAUUCCCUAAAACUUAGUUGUUCAAGUCAUCAAGUUGCCACCUCAUGAGUGACAGCCAGCCUUUGGCGCACCCACAUGCUCAUAUUGUUUUUGAAUUAGUUAUUAGCUUAUACUUUUGUCAAAUUUUUUUGAUAAAAUAAUUAAUAAUUAUCUAAUGUAUUAUUAUCGCAGACAAUAUAAUUCAAAUACGAUAAUAUAUGAGUUUUCUUUUUUAAAGAAUCGCAGGACGAAAUUUCGUCGAUAGUAUUUUUUUUAUUUACAUUGUAUUUUUUUUAAUUUUAUUAUUAAUUUUUUACUUGUCUAGUGUAUUUUAAUAAUUUCUUUUGUAUAGAAUAAUUUUUUUGUGAAGUAAUUGAAUUAAAAAAAAAUCUAGCCCACCCUAAAAAAUAGUGCUAGCUUCGCCACUGUAUAUAUAUAUAUAUAUAAUUUGUUUCACCAUUAAAUUAACGGAAUAGAAAAAUAAAGACAGUAAAAAAGCAAAAACGAGAAGCAUAUAUAUAUACAUAUCUCCUAUAUCCUUUCUUGAAAAAUUGUUAAAUUAACUCUUGACACAUCAUUAAGCAUAUAUACAUAUCAUUAAGCAAAUCUAGUUGGAUUCUGUUUGUAGGCAAAAGAUUUACGUUUUGGUUAUUUUAGAAACAAAGACACCUAAAACAGAUACAACACUGUAUACAUAUAUUAUAUAUGAUAAAAGGAUAAAACUGUGGUGCAACUGUGGUACCGUGCCACAGUUGCACCCAACCGUUGAAUUCCCACUUAUUCAAGUGGACCCCACUCAUUUGAGUGGAUCUAACGGCUGGUGCAACUGUGGCACGGUAUCACAGUUGCACUGUAGCCUGACCCAUGAUAAAAUACACAAGAAACUAAUUACCAACAUGUGAAUAGUUUUUAAAGUCUUGAUCUUACCAAUGUUGCUUGCUUCGUUUGGUAUCAGUUUGUUCUGCAAAGGCAGCUGCUUCCGCUCUAUUAUUACUCAAGUCAACCUACCAUAUAACCAAAAAAUAAAAUAUAGUAAGAAACAAAACUUGUAAAGAAACUAUCUUUUGCAUGCGAAUAAUAAUAAUAAUAAUAGUAAUUAUUAUUGGCUUGCAGAUAUAGUAAUUAUUAUUGGCUUGCAGAUACCAAUGAAUUGAAUUCGAAGGAAACUAGGUGCUUAGUGAAAACUUAAUUAAAAGUGUGAAACCUGAAAUUAAAAUGCAUGCCAAGAGAACAUACAUUUACAGGUUUUGGCUCUUCUGUUUUGAAACUGCAUGCUCUCUAUCGAUCUGGCUAUAAAUAAAAGAUGUUACGAGAAAGAGUAUUAUUGAGUGGCAUUAAUAAUUAACUAAUGUAUUUUGGUGAGACUCAGUAAUUGCACCCACCAACCUAUGGAUACUGGGGACAUGAUCUAAUUAAUUUGGCAUUAAUUAAAGGAAAAUGUAGGACUCGUUUGGUGGUUGGUUAAUUGCCUAGUGCCUGCAGCCGGACAGUAGCAAGUCGACUACUCGAGCAAUACAAUUUCAUUGAUGACAAGACCCUUGGAAUCUUCAUGGUCUGAUUACUUUCUGGAUUGGAAAAUCUGAAUUCAUAAUUAGAAUAAUUGAUGAAGUUUAUUUUGUAAAAUAGAAGUGGAAAUUAAAAUCAGAAUCAUGGGACCUACCUCAAUUUAGAAAUGAAGAAUGGAAGACUGACUCCCAAAUGGGUGGGAAUUAGUCUCCCAUCCCCAACACUCCCCAAUUUGCCUUUAUCAAAAUCUCAAAAGGCCAAAAAUACCCUCAUUUAAUUAAAAAAAAAAAAAACACAGCCAAAAUUCAUCUCUGCCAAACCGUUGCUUCCAAAAUUAACGUCGUUGGUCAUCAAGCAGCAACAACAGCAUUGUCCAACUGAAGCAGUGUCGUCAAUCAUCAAUAGUAGCAACGUUUUCAAGCAACAACAGCAAUAGCAUGAUCCAAUGGCAACAGCCAUUGUCGAUGAUGAUGCCGACGAUGCCGCUUGUUGUUGAUAAUGAUGUCACUCGUCAAUGAUGAUGAUGAUGAUUAUUAUUAUUAUUAUUAAUGAUAAAAAAUUAUAAUUAAUUAAUAUAUUAUUAACAAUAAUAAUAAUUUUUGAAUAAAUAAUCAAAAUAAUUAAAAUACAAAAUAAUAAUUAUGACAAUAGUUAAUUAAUGAUUUUUUAAUAAUUUGUAACACAUUCUGAUUUCGAGACAAAGUAAAUACAUUAAUGACAAUUCAGUUCAUUCCGAUUUAAAUUCUUACAGUUCAAGUAAAUAAUUUAUUUUGAUUUUCAAUCCUCAUUUCCAUGACAGUUCAUUAUAAUUCAUGUCUAUUCUAAUUCUUGUUUAAUAAAUGCAUCAUAAAUCUUUUAAGGCAGCCAGCUGCUAUUCAGUGUCCAAAUAUCUUGGAGCUCUAUGUGUCCAAACAUUGAGGCUACUGCUUUGGGAUGAAAGACCUUAAUUUCGAUCGGAAGUUAAAUCUGUAUAAUAAUUAACUUAACUUUUUCAUACCUCAUCUGUUUUGGACCUUUUCGUACAAGCAUGGUAGGUAGAAAUUAAUUACCUCGGUGACAGGAGCAAAUGGAGUGUGCAAAAACAAGCAAGUGAAUACGAAGCCCAUGUCAACGUUAUGAUAUUAGAUUAUUGGGUUUAUGAAAAUUAAGACGCCAAACUAAAAUAAAAUGUCUUUUUAUUUGAUUAUUAUAUUUUUACAUGUAAAUUAUAGUAUGAGGAUAGAUCUAUGCAAGCAUAAAUCAUCAGCUGCAGCAUUAUUUCAAUACCAUCCGACAUUGAGGGAUCACCCGCCGUUUGGCUCUAGUAAUUCCUUGGAGCCUACCAAAAUUGCCGUAAGAGAAAGAGAAAUAAAUAUUUGAACCAGUAUUCGGCUUGAAUAAAAAUUAUUACGAAAGAAUAAAUGAAAAAAAAAAACUCACCAUUUGCUGGGCCCAUAAUGAACACUUCAUCACCAUGUGAAGCCCUAGAAGAGAGAGUAUCAAACAUUUAUUCUUAAAGCAUUAUUUGCAAGAAUGUUAUGCAGUUAAAACAGCAAUGCAAAAUGACAGAAAGAUUAAUAUGAUGGUACAUUUACUAAAUGAAAAUCAAAAUAAGAUAGAAUGGAAAUUAAAACAAGUUGUUUACUUGAAUUAUAAUAUUCUGAAUUGGAAUGAACUUUACUUCCAUUAAUUUGUUUACAUUGUUUUAGAACAAUAACGAUAGCAAUAAUAAUGACAAUAAUGAUAACGAUAACAACAACAACAACAACAACAAUACUAAUAAUAAUUUGAAUAAUCAACAAUCGACGAGUACUGCAUACUACCAGCGACGAUCACUAGUGCAAGGCUGAUGAUUUGCAUCGGUGCAAGGCUCUGCUCUGUUUGACAGGAUUGUGUGCGACAGUGGUGCACGACGACCGGCUCUGCUAAGUUCGACGACUGGCAUGCAACGAUCAUGGCUUCUGGUUCUUAUCAAUCGACCGUGCUAUUUUUUUUCUCUCUUUUUUUUUUAACCAAGGAUAAAUCCAGGUUUAUGAAUUUUGUUAGAGAGCAGAUUUAUUCCGAAGGUGGGAAUCAAUGACCUUUUGAUUAUGAUUCCUUCUUUUACUUUAAACAUUGUCAACUAUUCCAAUUAUGGAUUCCAAUUCCUCAAUCCGGAAUGUGAACUCACCGUAAAUGUUUCCGCAAAAUCAACAUACAUAACAAAUGUUAACUUACAUGGCCCUUUAGUCAUGAGGGAGAGUGUGCUAGAUUAUAUUAUAUUACAGCUGUUAUAUACCUGGAUCAACGGCCUAGAUUUAGUAUAGAAUAACAACAGUUAAUAUGAAUGAGGGGAUCUUGUCUAUAAAGGGUACAGUCUGUUGCUUCUCAACGGCAGUGGUGAGUCGUCGUCAACCUUAUCACUAUGAUAUUUCCACGAAGCUUCUUGCUUUUGAGUGUCUACAACGACCUGAGGCUGAUGAUUUGCACUUACCGAGUCUUAGAAUAUUGUAAUUGUUGCUUCCCGCAAAAUCGUAAACUCACAGGCAUAUCAUCAAACACUAAGUUACUUUCAUCAAACACUUAUCAUUUCAACAGUCAUUAAUUGCGCUGACCUGCUGCUGCUGCUGCUGGCCUUUAUUUUUAUUUUUCCAUUUCCUACCAUAACUCUUGCAAGUUUAAUUAUUUUUUGCCCUUUUUUUUAAAUUGUAAUUUUAGUAAUACAUUAUAAUCUAAAAGUUAUUGAGAGUCAGAUCAAUUCAUAUAUUUAUAAGCAAAAGUUGUACUAUACAUCUCGAGAUAUAAAUAUAUUUCUAAAAUUAUUUGAGUCAGGUCGCCCGUCAAGUUAUAUAUUUACUCACAGUCACACACACAGACACACGGUAGAUAGAUUAAGUAUUAAAAAGUCAAAGAAAAAUAUUUAGGCUCAUUUACUUUUUGAUCAAAACUUAGCAGAGUCACAGCACUCACAAGUGGUUCGAACCCAUGGGGCGUAAUAUCUUUUUCAAUUAUAGAAAAUAAUUGAGUAAAAAUAGUCUUUUUUUUUAAUAAAAUAUGAGUAGAAUAAAUGUCUCUUACAUAUUAGAGAUGAUUAGAAUCUAAGCAAUCAGUAUGAGUUAUAAUAUGAGUUAUAAUAUGAACAAUAAUCUCAUAUAAUUCCAAAAAAUACCAAUUUCUAACAAUUAAACCUCUUGGUUACACCUAACCUUACUUAAGACAUUAAGGAUAUUAAAUGAGGCACCAAGCCUCCCAUCCAUAAAUGUUUCAACUUUCGAAGCACAAAGCUCAGAGCCCCGAAACCAUUUGCCUUAGUAGUAAUUUGCAAGAUUCACCAAAGAAGUGUGCUUUUGAAAGAGGCUGCUACUGGUGUUGAUUUUUUAUGUCACAAUCUCAGCUCUUGGAUUGGUGGGCUGAUUUUUCCAGAAGAACUUCUGGUGUAUAUGUAUAUAUCUAACAUUCUCUGCAUUGGUUAUUUUUCUUGCUGGGUUUGUUUGUUUUGGUGUUUUUAAGGGUAUUUGAGGUGAUUAAUUAAUAUUUUGCCAACUUUUGUGACAUGGGUCCAAUUUCAUUAUAUAUGAAAUGGUACAUAAAUUGAAUCUCUUACAAAUGGAGUUUGAUACGUCUGUUUGCAGGCAUCAUAUAUUCUCUGUUCAAGCACCAAGCUAUGUGGAUGCAAGAACAAGUUUUGUUUUUUUUUUUUUUUACUACUCGGAUUUAUUGUUAAAUUCUGAUAGUUUCUUAUUCUCGCAAGUUGAUGAUGUCCUUUAAAAGUUUUUACUGAGCUUGUUUGUCAAAAGGUGUUCGAUAUGACUCAUCGUAUAAAACUCAAUUGUAGAGAGAGAAUGACAUAUUAUCUCGUUAUAUGUUGGAACAGAACUCCACCAUCUAACGAGAUUGUAUCUCCUUUUUUUCUCAACAGCUUUACGUUUUAUAUGAUGAGUCUAUAACGAACACCUUUUCAUAAUAUAAACUCCUAACAGAACUUUUAACGGACAUCUACUUAAAAGAAUAAGAAAAUAUUGAAAUUUAAAAAUAAUAAUCUGGAUUGUGAAAAAAAAAUCUGCAUAAAAAUGAAAUUAAAGACAAUUCCAAGAGAUUGCUGCACAGACAAGUGUAGUUUGGCAUUUCAAGUUUGAAGCGGAUGAGGUGGAUACAUGUUACAACUGUGAGGGUUUGGCUCUUCUGAAUGCAAGGAACGGUACACCCAUAAUUAACAAGAUUGUGACUAAUGAUAUAUGAAUGUCACAUCUGUAACCCUUUAAAUUGAAAGUUUUAUUUUAAAAGUUUUUGCAGCCACGGAAGCUCUUAUAUAUUCUCUGUUCCACUACUUUAAAUUCCAUAAAAUUUCAGAACAUUAUAUAACCUCACUGUUAACAGCUGCAAUAGAAAACAUAGACACAACUGAGCUACAGCUUCACAAUGAAUACAAGAGGAAAAUUUUUACUAGUUUUCACAAAGGUUGUCUAGUGAUGCUGGUGUGUGAUUUGGACACAGAGUGCCAACAUUUCACGAAUAUAAAAGGCUAAUUUGAUUCAAUUAUGAGAAAUCAAUCCACAAUUUGAAGAAUUAAUUUUUUUUUAAAAUAAUUGUGUAUGAUUAAACUGUCACUAUUUUUUAUACUCAGAAUCCUAACACAUAAUUAAAAUUAUGUCAUUUUCUUAAAAAAAAUACCAUCGUUCAGGCAAUUAAAAAAAAAAUCCUAAAACAUAAUUUUGACUUCAAUAAUUGCUCAACAAAUAUUUUGCAAAAGCCAACUCAUUUCACAUUAAUUCACACCUGUCAUCAGAUUAUCCUCAUAUAUAUGCUUCAGAAAACAACAAAUAAAAAUUGCGUCAUUCCUUCAUGUUGGGCAAUUUGCAGCCUCAAGCUCACGGUUCCCUGAUCAUGACUCAUGGCAUGACUCGUGUUCGUUUCACAACUAUCAAUAAUUGCCUCAAGUUUUAAUCUUGCUUGAUCUCUAGUUUGUGUUGAGAACGGUGCUGCAUGCAGCCAUGGAAGCUCUUAGACUCUCCUCGGUUUCACCUUUUUGUAACGCUACAUUCAAACUUGAGUACAAUAAGACCCACUUCACUAAGCCCAAGUUCUUAAGCUUUCAGUUCAGUUCCCUGUCCACUUUAUCAUCUUUCUCAUCAAAACCAUACAAAAUCUUCACCACCUUAUCACCAUCGUCACAAGUUUCAACUGAAGCCACAGACCCACCAGAAAGAGAGCUUGAAACUAACUCACAAGAGGAGAAAUUUGAUUGGUUCUCACAGUGGUAUCCAUUGAUGCCGGUGUGUGAUUUGGACAAGAGAGUCCCUCAUGCAAAGAAAGUGUUGGGGCUUGAUGUCGUGGUUUGGUGGGACAGGAAUGAGAAUGAAUGGAGAGUCUUUGCUGAUGCUUGUCCUCACAGAUUGGCUCCUUUGUCAGAAGGAAGAAUUGAUCAAUGGGGAAGGCUUCAGUGUGUGUAUCAUGGCUGGUGCUUCAGUGGCUCGGGUGACUGUAAAUUUAUCCCUCAGGCUCCCCCAGACGGCCCCCCGGUAACAUCUAUUGCUUCACUUUUGCAUCACAUUCAUAUGUUUUAUUAUGUUUUGUGUUGCUAUAGAUGCUUUUGCGGUUGUCUCGCUUAUGUGUAGAGUGAGAUGCUAUAGUUUUGUCCAAUUAGAAUCUCUUCUAGGCAUAGAGUUUGUUUGUUUAUAAUUGUUGCGCUUCAGCGCGUUUUUUGCCCGAAAGCUAUCCCGGAAGGACUUACAGACUGGAAGUAAUAAAAUAGGUCAAGGGUCUAAUUCCAAGGGGAUACGUUUAAUUCUGAAAGAGCAGUAGCUAAUUAAAUGUUUGGUAAAGCCGCCACACCUCUCAUCUUCAGUUUAAUUGUGAAGGAACAAUGAAAGAUAAGGGGAAUACAUGAAUUAUGAUUCCAUUGCUUGCUUGAUAAAAUUUUGUUUUGAUUUUUCUGCAAUCUAGUUUUGAUUUUUUGUUCUUGCAUGCAGUUGUUGUUAAGAUUUCUACUUUGCUGGGUGGCUGAUUGCUUUAAUUUUUACCAACUUAUUUGUCAAAAUAUGUAGGUCCACACAUUCGAGAAAGCAUGUGCAGCAGUUUAUCCAAGUACCGUCCAGCAUGACAUCGUAUGGUUUUGGCCAAAUAUUGCUCCUCGGUACAAGGAUAUUAUCAAGACUAAGAAACCUCCUCACAUCCCGGAACUAGAUGACCCGUCAUUCACAAAAUUGUUUGGGAACAGAGAUAUACCUUAUGGGUAUGCAAUGAUCCAGUCUUCCAUUUUAAUUUGAGCGAGUUAGCACACGAAAUUCUAGAUUGAAUUUGUACUAUACUGAUAUUUGGCAAGAGUCAUUAAGAAAACUAGUUGAACUUAAGUGUAAUGACAACCUGGUCAAUGCAAGUUAACAACUUUUUCUAAUUGCAAGUAAGUUGCAUUUUCAGUUAUGAGGUCUUAUUGGAAAAUCUUAUGGACCCUGCUCAUGUUCCAUAUGCACAUUACGGAUUGAUGCGUACAAGGAAACCCAAAGGUUGAUAAAUUCCUAGAUAAACCUUGUUCUACGUUUAAGUCAUUUAUAUUCUCUUCGUGAAUAAAACCUAUUAGUUAAUACUAAAUUUUCUUUACAGUGAAGCUCGAUAGAGAAGGGGGAAGACCAGUUGAAAUGAGUGUCAAUAAAAUAGACAUAAAUGGUUUCAUUGGAAAGCAGGAGUGGGGAAGUAGCAAAUUUUUGGCACCUUGUAUCUUUUUUGCUUAUACUGAUCUUAUGAAGGAUCAAGAAAAUGGAUCUGCAUCAUCAGCAGGAGCCGAAAAGGUAAAGGUCAAUAUGUUUCAUUAUGCUCAGCUGACAGUAGAAUUUUGCACUCUUUUCAGUUCUUAUUCUAUGCUGUUUGGGCUUUCUUUUAUCCAUAUACAUUUCGGUUGGUGCAGAAGCUGGAGCAACAAAGAGCAGCUCUGAUUUUUAUUUGUGUUCCAGUUAGUCCUGGUCACAGCAGAUUAAUAUGGGCGUUCCCAAGAAACUUUCAAACUUGGAUAGACAAAGUUGUUCCGCGGUGGAUAUUUCAUAUUGGACAGAAUCUAAUUCUUGAUUCAGAUUUAUACCUGCUUCACGUUGAGGUGAUUCCUGUCUCUGUAUGCUAAAAUAAUUUUAACCUAAAGUUUUUUGAAAAUGCUGAGUGGAUUGGCGUUCAAGUCUACUGCUAGUCUAGGCCUCAAACUCAGAUUUGAGACUCGUCGACCAUUUCAUUUUACUAGAUUGGUUGUGACACCAUCCAAAAAGCAUAUUUUUGUUUUUCUUCUCAAUAGAAGGUAUUCACUUAAAUACUACUCUCCUACAAUAGAAGAAUUUAAUAGAUUCUUUCUUGUUUCUGGCUGUGAAUUACCUGACUUCUGUUUCUCUCUGCAGGAGCGAAAGAUAAUGGAUGUUGGCCCUGCUAAUUGGCAGAAAGCUUGUUUUGUGCCAACAAAAGCCGAUGCCCUGGUAGUUGGUUUCAGGAGGUGGUUAAAAAAAUAUGCCGGUGGCCAAUUCAAUUGGGGAGGGAAAUUCAAUGCGACUCUUCCACCAACACCGCCCAGGGAACAGCUCAUGGACAGGUAUCUGGGCUUCACUUUUAUAAACUUGAACCCCUUAACACCAUGUCAUGGGAUUUUACAGUAGUUCCCAGUUUUGAAACUCAUAUAAAGAGCAGAGGUUUAUGGAUAUUUAAAAGAAGCAUUAUUUGUUUCUUCAAGCUUGAGAAACAUUUUCUUUUGUGUUUUGCCAAAUUUCUUAUGCAAUGCCUUGAAAACGGGAACACUGUGAAGUUUGUUGUGACCCCAUUAAAACAUAAGAUUUCGUACUUAAUUAAAGGAAUUUUAUUCAAAUUUGCAGGUACUGGUCUCAUGUGGUGAAUUGCAAAAGUUGCAAUGCGGCACACAAGAGUCUCAGCGCACUUGAGGUCACGCUACAAGUCGUCUCCAUUGCUUCAAUUGGGAUUGUUGCUACAACCAAGCAGAAUGCCAUGUCAAUGGCUACAAGAACUACAAUCAUCUCAUUUGCAGUAAUCUGCUUUGCGGCUUCAAAAUGGUUGUCUCACUUCAUCUACAAAACCUUUCAUUAUCAUGACUACAAUCAUGCCCUUCGCUGAGCUUAGCAUUUAACGUCGAAAAUUAGAAUAUGUAAAUACAACUUAUUUUUCUGUACGUAAAUACUGGAAUGUAGCUUGUAUGCAAACAUUUUGAUCAAGUGAAAUUAGAAAGUGCAGUUGUAAUAGAAAACAUAUAAUUAUCAUCACCAUUAGCAGUUGUAAUUGUAAGUACAUUAUCAUCACCAUUAACAAUUGCAAGAGAAAACGUAUACACAACUGAACCACGGCUUCAGAAUGAACACAAGAAGAACAUUUUUACUAGUUUUCACAAUGGUAUCUAGUGAUGUUGGUGGGUGAUUUGGACACAGUGUCAUACGCCAUGAAUAUAAAAGGCUAAUUUGAAUCAAUUGCGAGAAAUCAAUCCACAAUUUAAAGAAUUAGUUGUUUUGUUUUUCAAUAAUUUCAUAAGAUUAGAAUUUCACUACUUCAUAUAAUUAGAAUCCUAACACAUAUUCUAUUAAAAAAAGUUCCUAACACCCAGGUUGAUAAAAUUAUACCUUUCUUAAAUAAAAUUCCAUUGUUUAAAUAAUUAAAAAAAGAAAUCCCAAAACAAAAUUGUGACCUUAAUAAUUACUCUACAAAAUUUUUGCAAAAGUCUAACUCAUUACACACUAAUUUACUCCAAUUGAUAAUUUUCUUUUCCUUCCGUUAUCAUGUGUAGUCUCAAUAUUUUCUAACCCAUCAAAAUUAGUUAGUUCAAUAUUGACAUUCUUCUCCUAAAAAUAUGUAUUAUUAUAUUUACUAGCAUAUUAAUUAGAUGGUUAAAUAUCACCAUCAUUUGGUACAAAACCCAUAGAUGGCGCAACAAUAUCUUUAAACAAAAUUUCUAAUUGGUCAACAUUUCUCAAGCCUUUAUAACGAAUUUUAAUUGUUUUGAGAAUCUCCUACAAUAAUACAAAAGGAUUAUGUGUUAAAAAUAUGUCUAAAUUGCUCCUAAAAUCAUUUCCUAGUACACCAAAAAAUAAGAAGGUUAGAAUUUGCAACUUCAAUCCUCUCUCCCAUCAGUCAUCGCUAGUAGUAUUUGUCUGUUUUACAACAUCCCAUCCUAAACCAAUUUCAUUCUCAGCAAGUUUGUCCAAAGUUGCCAAUCUAUUUUAGGAUGUCCCACUUAUUUUUCAAUGUUUCUAUUCAUAAUCUCCAUUGGUCAUAGAAUAAAAAUUAGCAACGAGACUUUUCCACCCAAUCAUAUUAAAGUGACUAUUUGGUUUGAUUCCAAGCUAAUGUCUCACUCAUACAAAUCUUAAUAAAAGCACCAGUGGUAACAUCAUCCCAAUCUGCCUUUGAUUUACUUUUCCUUUGCAACAGUAACGAUUCUAGACAAAGGAUAUGUAAUAUUAUUACAUGAAAAACAUAAUGCACAAAUAAAAUGAAGAUGAAAUGAAUUUCAAAUAUAAAUUAAUAAUUGGCAUGCAUUCUUGAAUAAGAUAAUAAAAAGAAGAAUGAAAACUGUAGCAAGUAUCAAAUAUCAAAUAGUAGCAUAGUGAAAUGUGUUCAUCAUAUUUCUAAUAAACUAGAUUUAUUUUAACAGUGAUGAGGGAAACAUCGAUGCCUGCUAUGCACCUCACCAAAGUUGUGACAAUGAGUUUUCUAUCAAAUGAUGGCAAUAAUUUAUUUUGUGUAAGGUUUUGUAUAAAAUAAGUAAAGCGGCGGCAAUCUCAUUAGAACCAAAAAAAAAGAGAAGUAGCAGCAGUUAGUUUUUUAUCAAAUGGUGGCAAUUAAUUGUUAUUAUGUAGGUUUUAUAUAUAAAUAAGGGUAUUAUGUAAUUAAUGAAAUGUUCUUCAGGAAUUGUUGAUAUAUAUAUAUGUAUUUAAAAGUUCUUUAAUCUCCAUUCAUAAAAGCUCAAAUUCCAGAUUUUGUUAAUGGAGGCAAAUUAACUUAUUUGAACUGAAAAAGAUAAACUAAAAAAACACUAAUAACUAAUUUAAAAAGAGCUUAUAAAAUUAAAUAAGUACUUAUAGCCGUUAGAUAAAUUAUACCAAACAAAUAUUUUAAAGGAAAGCUGAGUCUAUAUACAUUUUAUUCUUUUCCUAAAUUUAUAAAAUAGUUAUUGGACUACUUCUGCUACUGUUUUUUUUAGUUGAUCUCAUUCCUUAUUCAAUUGGCUGUUGAUAUAUAAAUUUCCAUUAUCUUUUCUCGAUCUUUUUUCUUUACUAGAAGACUGUAAAAGCAUGAAUCGAAAUCCAACGACAAUGUCCUUUUAAUAUUCUUGCUUGAAGAUAUAAGAAAAAAAUAGAUUAAAGAACUUCUAAGUAGGUGUAUAUAAGAAAGAGUUAUGCUACAAAUAUACAAUUGGAAUAAAUAAUUUACACCCCAAAUGAUAUGAACAAUGAUGUGUCAACAUUUAAUUGGUGAUGUAAUAUUAUCUUAUCAAUAAUGAAAGCUAAAACCAAUUGGCGCCUAAGAGGCUAAGACAUGUCAAUUAAUUGCUAAUGACACAUUACUAAUGAUACAAAGUAUAUAUUUACUUAAGAAAAUGGUGGAAAUUGACAAAUGAGAUGGUCUACUUUUAGCCUUUGAUGAUUUCUAUCCAAAAUCUGGCGUGGGCUCCGCAGCCGAGCCCACACCAGCGACUAUUUGGGUCUUCAAUGUAAAUGAGCAAAAGUUAUAGAGAAGAAAAAAAAAGAAAAGAAAUUUAUUUCAAUUUAUGAUAUGUUUUGAUUAGCAAUGCUAGUUCAUGUAAUGUCAUUUCAAAAGAAAAGUCACACCUGCUAAUUCAAUUUUUUUUUUAAUUUCUGAGAGGAAUUUAAAACUUUAAUUAUUAGGUGAUAUUUUCAUUUACCAUGAUAUUACUAGUAAUGUUGAAUCGUAUCAUUAACUACUUAAUAUGGUCGGUGACUUAACACAUACGAUACAUUAUUUCAACAUAAUUUAUAGUAAAAAUAGUCCAUUAUCUUAUGCAUGUCCUACAUGACUAAGAUAAUAGAAAUUAAUUUUAGUCAAUUUUGACCAAAACAAGUCAAGUUUUUAUUUUUGAAAUUAAUUUUAGUCUAAUUAGUUAAACAUACGCUUCCAAAAUAAUUCAUUUAGUUGUAACUAAAAACCAUCUCAUUUAUAUAGUCAACAUUGUUGCCCAUAAAAUUAAAAAGUUCAUAAUUUCGCAUGUCUAAUAUUAAUUCUCAAGGAAAAAUGCAAUUCACCCAUUAAUUUAGGUGUAACUUAACCAUGAAUAAUGCAUGUACGCUAGUAAAGAGAUGCAAAAAUGUUCUUCAUACAGAAUGUUUUCCAUAAAUAUUACAAAAUAUAAAAAAAAAUGUAAAAUGUUUGUUUUAAAGUGCCAAAAGAAAAUUAAUAAAAAUUCAACAAAACUUAUAAAUCGAGUAAAUGCGUCGCCUUACACAAACAUAAUUAUAAUUUGAUAAAAUUAUGCUUUUUUCUUAAAUAAAAUUCCAAUUUUCAAAUAAUAAUAAUAAAAAAAAAGAAAUCCUAAAACAUAAUUUUGACCUUAACAAUUACUCUACAAAUAUUUUGCAAAAGCUAGCCAACUCAUCUCAUUAUCCUCAUACAUGAACAAAUAAAAAUUGAAUCUGGUAUUGAGGGGACGUGCUCUUUUUUUCCGGCGAAUUUUCGAUGGCAGAUAAUCUACGGAGGCUGUUUAGCAUAGUGAGGAGCCUUGGCCCCCGUAGCAGUCAAAUAAAACGGCUUAGCUAUUGAAUAAUUUUGUGGCAUCCAUUCACACUACUUGUAUAGCGCUAUUAAAUCACUCAACGACUCCUGACUUAUUCAGUUGGACUCAACAAAUGUUGACUGAUUCAACUACAAGGAAAUGAAAUGAAAGACACAAACAUAAGAGACGCAUUAAUUUAUGUUGGACUUUUCAGCGUCACGGUCAGAGUCCACUGAUCAUGACUCAUGUGGCGCACGUUCAUUCGCAAUUAGCUAUAAUUAUCUCGAGUUCUAACCUUGCUUGAUCUCGAUUUUUGUGCAGAGUAAGGUGUUGCAUGCAGCCAUGGAAGCUCUCUUACUCUCCUCAGUUUCACCAUUUUAUAACACUCCAUUAAAACUUAAGUACAACAGAACCCACUUCACUGCUAAGCCCAAGCUCUUAAGCUUCCACUUCAGUCCACUAUCCACUUUAUCAUCUUUCUCAUCAAAACCAUCCAAACUCUUCACCACCUUAUCACCAUCAUCUCAAGUUUCAACUGAAGCCACAGACCCACCAGAGACAGAGCCUGAAACUAACUCACAAGAGGAAAAAUUUGAUUGGUUCUCACAGUGGUAUCCAUUGAUGCCGGUGUGUGAUUUGGACAAGAGAGUCCCCCAUGCAAAGAAAGUGUUGGGGCUUGAUGUCG
rnacentral:lncRNA from 1 species